rnacentral:rRNA from 1 species
UACGUAGGGUGCGAGCGUUCAUCGGAAUUACUGGGCGUAAAGCGUGCGCAGGCGGUUUUGUAAGCCAGAUGUGAAAUCCCCGGGCUUAACCUGGGAAUGGCAUUUGGGACUGCAAGGCUUGAGUGCGGCAGAGGAGACUGGAAUUCCUGGUGUAGCAGUGAAAUGCGUAGAUAUCAGGAGGAACACCGAUGGCGAAGGCAGGUCUCUGGGCUGACACUGACGCUCAUGCACGAAAGCGUGGGGAGCAAACAGG